rnacentral:rRNA from 1 species
UACGAAGGGGGCUAGCGUUGUUCGGAAUCACUGGGCGUAAAGGGCGCGUAGGCGGCUUUAUAAGUCGGGGGUGAAGGCCUGUGGCUCAACCACAGAAUUGCCUUCGAUACUGUAGAGCUUGAGACCGGAAGAGGUAAGUGGAACUGCGAGUGUAGAGGUGAAAUUCGUAGAUAUUCGCAAGAACACCAGUGGCGAAGGCGGCUUACUGGUCCGGUUCUGACGCUGAGGCGCGAAAGCGUGGGGAGCAAACAGG